AACUAACGUAACCCUAUAUCUAAAAGUACUUCACCGCAUGGACUUCAAACCUGCAAGAGUUAAAUUUGAACUUUACUUCUUGGCAGUCAAAAAAAACGUGGGCUGCGUAUCUCUUCUUCUUGCUGUCUUCAGAGAGAAUAAAAUAUUGCCAUCCCCAAGUUGCUUUCCUUCCUUUCCUUCGUGCUCUUGGAGUCUUCAGCAGCAACUAUAAUAUUUUAUUGUGUGCCCAAGACUUGUACUUUCUUCAUGAUUUUUCUUCUCCGGCGGCUUAGAGAGACGUGGUGCUGUAGCACACGUUUCUUUGACGGUUUACAAACCUAAUAACUCUUAUUUACACACACACAGCCAAAAACAAUUAAAAGACAAAUAAGCUAGUCAAAACACAAAACCAAUUUUACUAUUUUCUAACAGCCUCCCUUAAAAUUGAUUUUGUAAGACUACGACACCAAGCAUUGUCUUCAAUUUCUCGAACAGAUCCGCCUUCAAUGGUUUUGUCAAAAUAUCUGCAAUCUGGUCUUCGGAUUUACAGAAAUCAAGUUCAAUCUCACCUUCUUUAAUCAGCUCACGAAUAUAAUGAUACUUGAUGUCGAUAUGUUUGCUCCUGCCAUGAAAUACAGGAUUCUUGGCCAAUGCAAUUGCUGACUUGUUAUCACACAUCAAUUUAGUAGGACCUUUUUGUUCAUGCAUAAGCUCAAAAAGCAUCCUUCGAAGCCACAUCGCCUGACAUGCUGCUGAAGAUACUGCAAUGUAUUCUGCUUCAGUUGUUGAGAGUGCAAUAACUUGUUGUUUCUUUGAUGACCAAGAAAUUAUUCCUGAUCCAAGAAAGAACGCAUAUCUAGAAGUGCUCUUUCGUGUUUCAGUAUCACCUGCCCAAUCACUGUCUAUAUACCCCACUAAACUGAAGUUGUCAGUGUAAGAAUAUGAAAUUCCAUGAUCACGAGUUCCACUGACAUACCUUAAAAUUCUUUUUGCUGCUUGCAAAUGUGACUGGUAUGGUUUCUCCAUAAACCGAAUAAUAAUUCCCACGCCAUAAGUUAUAUCUGGCUUAGUGGUAGCCAAAUAUCUUAAACUGCCAACAAUACUUUUGAAAUAAGUGGGAUUUACCAGUUCACCGGUUCCUUCUUUCUUCAACUCCAACCGUUCUGCUACAGGAGUUCGAAUUGAUUUGAGCGUUUCCAUAUUGAAUCGCUUCAAAAUAUCAUUAGCAUACUUCUGCUGUGAAACAAAUAUGCCUUCAUUUGUCUGCUUCACUUCAAGGCCCAGAAAAUAGGACAUUAAUCCCAAAUCUGUCAUCUCAAAUUGACUUGUCAUGGCCUCCCUGAAUUCAGCAAACAUCUUCUCACAGCUUCCUGUAAAUAUCAAAUCAUCAACAUAAAGGCAAAUAAUUAUAAUAUCGCCGUUAGUAUUUGAUUUGAUAUACAGUGUAUGCUCAUAAGGGCACUUUUGAAAGCCAUGCUCCAACAGGUAAGUAUCAAUCCUCGUGUACCAAGCUCGAGGUGCCUGUUUUAGCCCAUACAACGCUUUCUUCAGUUUAUAAACUUGAUUUUCACGCCCUUUCUUCACAUAACCUUGUGGUUGCUCCACAUAUACUUCCUCAUCAAGAAAACCAUUAAGGAAUGCCGAUUUCACAUCCAUUUGAUGGAUUUUCCAACGGUUCUGAGCUGCAAGUGCCAAGAUCAUUCGAAUGGUAUCCAUUCGAGCCACCGGUGCAAAUACUUCAAAAUAAUCAAUACCUGGCUUUUGCUUGUAGCCUUUCACCACCAGUCUAGCUUUGUAACGGUCCACCUGACCGUUGGGUUUGCACUUCAUUUUGUACACCCACUUGACACCUAUAGGCUUCUUACCAGGUGGUAAAGAAGUUAGCACCCACGUGUCAUUCUUUUCAAUGGAGUGGAUUUCUUCAUCCAUUGCUUGGUUCCACUUCUCAUCUGCUGCUGCAUCAUCAUAGGAUAUGGGGUCACAUUGGGUAAAUAAACAAAAUUUUACCAUUGUUUCAUCAGUGAUUUCGUCACUGUCAUUAUGAUCAACUCUUGUGACCACAUAAUCCUUGAAUUUUACUGGCGUCUUUUGCGGUCGUUGUGAACGACGAAUCAAUGGUUCUGCAGUCGUUGCUGGUGAGGAGGAUGAACUACCAGGUGAAAGUGAUGGAUCUUCAAUUGAAGAUUCUUCGGUCUCCCUCAUCAAUGGUUCAUCUUCCAUAGGAAUGUCUUUCUGGUCAGCCUUUUGAUUCCAGUCCCAGGCUUCAUCUUCAAAAAAUUGGACAUCCCUGCUAAUAAUUACCUUCUCCGUGACAGGAUUAUAUAGCUUAUAACCCUUAGUCACAUUACUAUAUCCAAUGAAAAUGCACUUCUCGCUUUUAUCAUCCAACUUUUUUCUUCGUUCGUCCGGUAUAUGGGGAUAUGCUACACACCCAAAUACCCGUAGGAACGAAACAUCUGGCUUGUUGCCGCUCCAAGCCUCUUCUGGAGUUCUUCCAAGAACACUCCUUGUUGGACACCUAUUCAACACAAAUACAGCACAAGCAACGGCUUCCGCCCAAAACUUCUUCGGUAAUGCUUUAGCCUUUAGCAUACUUCUUGCCAUUUCAAAAAUUGUUCUAUUCUUUCUUUCUGCUAUACCGUUUUGCUGAGGAGUAUAGCUAGCAGUCAACUGACGUUUCACUCCAUGAAUUUUACAAUAAUUGUCAAAUUCAUUGGAAGUAAACUCUCCACCUCUAUCCGAUCUCAAUGUCUUUAAAUUAAAGCCACUCUGUUUCUCAACAUAGACUUUGAAUUCUUUAAAUUUGCCAAAAGCUUCGGAUUUUUCUCUCAAAAAAUAAGCCCAUGUUCUCUAGUAAAAUCAUCGACAAAAAUUAGCGUGUACCUUUUUUGUCCAAAUGAUUCCACCUCAACAGGGCCACAGAUAUCUGUAUGUACCAACUCCAGAGGUUGCUUGGCUCUUCUAGCUCUCCCAAUUGGAAAGAUUUCCGAUGUUGCUUCCAACGAGACAUCCUUCACAUGAGCGGUCUGGAGCGUCGAUCAAGGGCAUGCCAGUCACCAUCUUUUUCUGGACUAGUAAUUUAAGUCCACGAAAAUUUAGAUGACCGAACCGAAGAUGCCAUAGCCACUUGCUAUCUUUUGUCGUUGCUUAGAAAUUCAAUAGAAUCUUCAUCUGAAGGGAUAGAGGAAACAUCCGGUUCUUCGUCAUUCGUUGUUUUCGCCUCUAAUGGUGCACACACCAUUUUCAAUGUUAACUUUGUGGCCUUUUUCAUAUAGUUGCCCAACACUCAGCAAAUUCCAAAAGAGUCCCGGCACAAAGUAAAUGUCUGCAAUAGUAACAUUAGUACCAUCUUUUGAGUUGAUAUCGAUGUUACCUUUGCCCAUCACGAGAAUUUUGGAUUUAUUCCCGAAGUUGACUUCACCACGAACCGUCUCAUCUAACUUCGAAAAUAGCUCCUUUUGACCACACAUGUGAUUGCUGCACCCAGUAUCAAGGUACCAAGUUUUUGUGUCCAUGGUACUUGAGUCAUCCAUUUGGCAUGCUAACACCACGCCUUCAUUUGCAUCGACAGUGUGCACAUAUUCUGGCUGCUCUUGCCCCCUGUUUGCUCGACAUUCGGAUUUGUAAUGUCCGAAUUUGUUACAGUUAAAACACUUGACUUUUGAUUUGUCACGUGUUUGAUAUCUUUUAGUGGAAUUCAGAUUUCCACCUCUACCUCGGGCACCUCCACGACCUCCACGACCUCGACCACCAUGAUGACCUCCUCGAUUUGAUUGAGUGACCCGACUCUGCAGUGCUUGCUCAGAAUUCGAACUGAUAGACUUCCGGUUCAUUCUUUGCUCAUGCGAACAUAAUGAACCCAUCAACCUCUCCAACGUCAUGGUUGAUAUAUCUUGGCCUUCUUCGAUCGCCGCAACCAUGUAGUCAAAUCUUUCAGUCAAAGACCUCAAGAUUUUUUCUACGACUCGUACAUCUUGGAGCUCUUCACCAUUAACCCUCAGUUGGUUGACGAUGGUUUGUACACGAUCAAAGUAAGCCGAGAUAGAUUCUGAGUCAUUCAUGCGUAAAGACUCAAAAUCUCCUCGAAGUGUUUGGAGUCGCACCCGCCUGACACGAUCAUCACCUUUGUAGGAUUUUUGCAAUAUAUCCCACGCUUCUUUCGCUGUCUCCGCACUCGAUAUUUUCUCAAAUAUCGUCUCCUCCACAGCUUGAAAGAUCGCAUAUAAUGCUUUCUGAUCUUUCUUUCGAGAUUCCACCAACGCUUCUUUCUCCUCCUUCCUCAAAGCAUUGAAUUCUUCAACAUCAGCUACUUCGGUGUAGCCGUUCUCCACCAGGUUCCACAAAUCUUGGGACCUGAAUAGAACCUUCAUCUGGAUGGACCAGUUGUUGUAAUUUUUUCCAUUCAACUUCGGAAGUUGCAACUGAACAGAACUAGUGGAUGCCAUUGCUAGCUCUGAUACCAAUUGUUGGAAUCAAAAGGACUUGGAGGGAGAGAGUGCACACACAAAGAGAGAUUAUAUUACACAAUAUGCCUUUGUAAAGGCUUAAGAGAGUACACACUAACUUUGCUAAGUUUAAAACUCUCUCUAAAAUCUCACUCUCUCACAAAACACUCUCACACACACUGAACUAACGUAACCCUAUAUCUAAAAGUACUUCACCGCAUGGACUUCAAACCUGCAAGAGUUAAAUUUGAACUUUACUUCUUGGCAGUCAAAAAAAACGUGGGCUGCGUAUCUCUUCUUCUUGCUGUCUUCAGAGAGAAUAAAAUAUUGCCAUCCCCAAGUUGCUUUCCUUCCUUUCCUUCGUGCUCUUGGAGUCUUCAGCAGCAACUAUAAUAUUUUAUUGUGUGCCCAAGACUUGUACUUUCUUCAUGAUUUUUCUUCUCCGGCGGCUUAGAGAGACGUGGUGCUGUAGCACACGUUUCUUUGACGGUUUACAAACCUAAUAACUCUUAUUUACACACAC
rnacentral:lncRNA from 1 species